GGGGAAUUUUCCGCAAUGGGCGAAAGCCUGACGGAGCAAUACCGCGUGAGGGAGGAAGGCUCUUGGGUCGUAAACCUCUUUUCUCAGGGAAGAACACAAUGACGGUACCUGAGGAAUAAGCAUCGGCUAACUCCGUGCCAGCAGCCGCGGUAAUACGGAGGAUGCAAGCGUUAUCCGGAAUGAUUGGGCGUAAAGCGUCCGCAGGUGGCGAUGUAAGUCUGCUGUUAAAGAGUGAGGCUCAACCUCAUAAGAGCAGUGGAAACUACAUAGCUAGAGUACGUUCGGGGCAGAGGGAAUUCCUGGUGUAGCGGUGAAAUGCGUAGAGAUCAGGAAGAACACCAAUGGCGAAGGCGCUCUGCUAGGCCGUAACUGACACUGAGGGACGAAAGCUAAGGGAGCGAAUGGGAUUAGAUACCCCAGUAGUCCUAGCCGUAAACGAUGGAUACUAGGCGUGGCUUGUAUCGACCCGAGCCGUGCCGUAGCUAACGCGUUAAGUAUCCCGCCUGGGGAGUACGCCGGCAACGGUGAAACUCAAAGGAAUUGACGGGGGCCCGCACAAGCGGUGGAGUAUGUGGUUUAAUUCGAUGCAACGCGAAGAACCUUACCAAGGCUUGACAUGUCGCGAAUCUUCUUGAAAGAGAAGAGUGCCUUCGGGAGCGCGAACACAGGUGGUGCAUGGCUGUCGUCAGCUCGUGUCGUGAGAUGUUGGGUUAAGUCCCGCAACGAGCGCAACCCUCGUUUUUAGUUGCCAGCAUUAAGUUGGGCACUCUAGAGAGACUGCCGGUGACAAACCGGAGGAAGGUGGGGAUGACGUCAAGUCAGCAUGCCCCUUACGCCUUGGGCUACACACGUACUACAAUGCUCCGGACAGAGGGCAGCAAGCCAGCGAUGGCAAGCAAAUCCCGUAAACCGGAGCUCAGUUCAGAUCGCAGGCUGCAACUCGCCUGCGUGAAGGAGGAAUCGCUAGUAAUUGCAGGUCAGCAUACUGCAGUGAAUUCGUUCCCGGGCCUUGUACACACCGGCCCGUCACACCAUGGAAGCUGGUAGUGCCCGAAGUCAUUACUCCAACCAUUCGUGGAGGAGGAUGCCUAAGGCAGGACUGGUGACUGGGGUGAAGUCGUAACAAGGUAGCCGUACCGGAAGGUGUGGCUGGAUCACCUCCUU
rnacentral:rRNA from 1 species